GCCUUGAUCAUUAAUGAAAUUGCAGAAUGCAUGGGGGGGGACAUGAAACUUGAACCUCAAAUUACAAUAAGCAUAGAGAGAACUACUCGAGAUAAUAACGAGAGCCUCAACAAAAAGUAUGUAUUUUUCCAUGCACCAAUUAGCGAAGAGUGCACUUCUAGCUACUAUAUUGGCUUUACAGAGGUGGUGACAUACCGGAAAGUAAAUGCUUACUCGAAGUCAUAAUAUGCUAAUAAGAUCAGCUUUCUCACUAUGUUGCCACCGUAAAAACGAUUCCGGUGCCAUUUAGUUUCAUCCUGCCACUAGGAGGUUGCGACCAUUUGGGAACUCGCCACCUAACUAGGAUAGACAAGACACAUAAGGUGUGCAGUCCGGGACAAAGCCCACGUUGCCCUAUGUUAACACGGUAGGGACUCUUAUUGCCGGCAUAAAGCCACGUCUAAUUAAAAUAACAAAAUAACAUAAAUAAAAUUAAAAAUACUUAAUCCAUAAAGGAAAUAAAAACUCAGCCCACCAUAAAAGGCCCAACAGGAUAGGGCAGGCCCCAAAAGCCCACAAACCGAGCCAAUUUGCCGUGCGGGUCGGAAUUCGCCCCCCAUUGCUGCGGGGAUGCAUCUCAGCCUCCGGUGGAUCACAUCGCCCUACUUGGCCGUGAAGUGACAUCGUCGACCAGAUCUCCUUAGUUCCCGAUCUCAAACCAAAACCAGAGCCCAGAAAGGAUCGAUCAUGGCGACUUCUAGUAGCUUUCCUCAACCCCAGCACAAGGGAAACAACGACGAUAGCCCACCAAACACCAGCACCCCUCCGCCGCUCCACCCUUUCUCGUCUCCUCCGCCUAAGCGCAGAUUGGUAACGAUCAAGAGGGUGCACCUCCGCCAGCCUUACCCUCCCCGAAUGUGACUUAGGUGAUCGCAGCCUCCUACUCCUGACCCAUACCCGCUGAAUCUCGCAAGUGGACUCACAAGAAUGAGUCGCCUAUCUGACAACGAAGUCCCAUGGACGCGCCGCCGGACGGGGCAGUGAAAAACUAUACGGUUUUUUGCUUCUAGGUUUUGCUCUGACUUUCUUGGAGACCUACCCUUCUGACGUGAUUAGGCCAUGACAUUGGAUAUUAUACUAUAAUCUAAAGCCGGAUGAUCUUGACUGUUCAUCCCUGUUCAUUCAACUGUUCAUAAGUGAAGUGGCGGUUUUGCCCUUCGUUUUUGUUUCAAUUGCAAACGCUCUCUGGCCGAUUGUUACUUCUGAGAACUUCUAUUUGUUUCAGUGGAGAGAGAGAGAGUGAGUGUGUGUGUGUGAGAGGGAAAAAGGAGUGAUCAAUCUGAUCGUUCAUAGCGAUCGUUGUGUUCUCAUUCAUCUAGCCAUAAAAAUAAUCGUCGGUAACUGCUUCUUCCUUCUUGACCUGGUGUUCGAAUGAUUGAUUACUGAACGUUCGGUCUACUGUUACACUGUUCACAAGGGAGCGAUUUGGAUUUUUGUUUUUGAACAGCUCCUAAAUUGAGAUUCUACUGAUAAUCUGAGAGAAGAAAAUUUCAUUAAAAGCAAAGAGAAAAGGAACUUACUGAUUCGACGAAGCACAAGAGAACGGCUUUGAAUCUGAGUUUAUUUGGAGGUCUAUGACUAUACUUACAGACGUUAUUCUCUAGGUUGGUGGUGGUGGGGGAAUUUCACCUGGGAAGUUGAGGACUAUGCUACUUGGGGUGGAGAAGAAGAGGAAGGAGCUGGAGAUUUUGAAUCUACUUUCAAUUUGAGAUCUCAAGCUUCUGAAUUUGAACGGACUGGAUGAUACUGAAUUUCUCAUAGCUUCUGCUGAUCAAACUUUAAGCUGUCAAAUCUUUUGAGUCCACAUCCGCCUGAUCCUGAUAGAGCAUAUGAGUGCAACUCAGCCUCCAAAAACACGCUCUCACAGCUCUGUAUGGCCAAUUGCUGUGGCUAAAGAGGCUCAUCUUACCCCAUAAGCAAAACGUUCGAUACACGAAAAUGUAUCUUUCUUAUUAUAGUUGUUAUUUAGUUGUUCUCUACUUUUCAUUCAGAUUUCAGCCUCAUUUUUUUUCUUUAUUUUUUUCCCUCUUCAUUUCCUUGACUGCUCCAAGGAGCAUCUUACAUCAGUUCUUAAUCUUAAAGAUGAGGUAUCCAUUGCUACUGCUGGAGCUGUGGACAGGGCCUGAACCAUAGUCUGGAUCAAUUUUACCUUCUCAAUAAGUUUGAUUUGAACUUAUUGAUUCUGGUGAGAAAUUCAAUUGAAUCUCAACCUGUAUUAUAACCAUUGAAUCUCAACCUCAUUCUGCUUUACCUAUCUUAAAGAUUCUGCUAUGUAAUAUUAUAAAAUCAAUCAUAUUAUCAUCUAUAAAAGGGAUUAUUCCGAUAACAUAUAACAAUAAUUCCCGCAGCAAAGCGCGGGUAUGCUUUCUAGUAUUUA